rnacentral:rRNA from 1 species
UACGGGGGGGGCAAGCGUUGUUCGGAAUUACUGGGCGUAAAGGGCUCGUAGGUGGCCAACUAAGUCAGACGUGAAAUCCCUCGGCUUAACCGGGGAACUGCGUCUGAUACUGGAUGGCUUGAGUUCGGGAGAGGGAUGCGGAAUUCCAGGUGUAGCGGUGAAAUGCGUAGAUAUCUGGAGGAACACCGGUGGCGAAGGCAGCUCUCUGGGACGGUACUGACGCUGAGACGCGAAAGCGUGGGGAGCGAACAGG